GAUUCGAUAGCUCAGUUGGUAGAGCAUCUCCCUUUUAAGGAGAGGGUCCUGGGUUCGAGCCCCAGUCGAGUCACCA
rnacentral:tRNA from 1 species